GGAGCUGUCGCCUAGUGGCCUAUGGCGCUCGCUUGGAAAGCGGGUUGGGUUAACAGCCCUCGGGGGUUCGAAUCCCCCCAGCUCCG
rnacentral:tRNA from 2 species